rnacentral:rRNA from 1 species
GACGAACGCUGGCGGCGUGCUUAACACAUGCAAGUCGAGCGGUAAGGCCCUUUCGGGGGUACGACGAGCGGCGAACGGGUGAGUAACACGUGGGUGACCUGCCCUCAGCUCUGGGAUAAGCCUGGGAAACCGGGUCUAAUACUGGAUAUGACUCCAUGACGCAUGUUGGUGGGGUGGAAAGCCUUGUGCGGCUGAGGAUGGGCCCGCGGCCUAUCAGCUUGUUGGUGGGGUGANGG